GCUGGUAGCUAGCUCUCUGCAACUCUCACAUGGUUGGCCAUUGAGGCUAAGCAGGGCUGCGCCCAGUCAAUACCUGCAUGGGAGACCACAUGGGAAAGCUAGAUUACUGCCGGAA
rnacentral:rRNA from 1 species